GGAGGUCUUGGUCUCAAACCCCUUGUUGCCUUCCCCUUUAUUUAUACAUGCAAGCCUCAACAUGACAGUGAAAUAACCUCUGUACACACAGAAAACGACAUCAGGAGGACUACCCCUCCCAGACGUCAAGCAAAAGCCACGCCCCCACGGGCACGCAGCAGUAAUUAAUAUUGAGCCAUAAGUGAAAACUCGACUCAGCAAAAGGGCUAACCAGGGCUGGUUAAUCUCGUGCCAGCGACCGCGGUUACACGACAAACCCGAGACAACACUAACGGCGUAAAGCACGACUAAAACACAGGCAAGCAUUAAGGGGUGAACCCAGCCAAGCUGUAAAAAGCCACAAGCAACAAGAACCACCAACCCUUAUACCCAGACUAAUUCCACUCGUGAAAGUUGAGACACAAACUAAGAUUAGAUACCUUACUAUGCCCAACCAUAACACAACAAUUAAACCACAGAUUGUUCGCCAAAUAACUACGAGUAAAAACUUAAAACUUAAAAGACUUGACGGUACUUCACAACAACCUAGAGGAGCCUGUCCAAUAACCGAUAACCCGCGAUUAACCCAACCCCCUCUCGCCCACAGUCUAUAUACCGCCGUCGCCAGCACACCUUGUGAAAGAAAUAAAGUAAGCUAAAUAACACCACAUUAAUACGACAGGUCGAGGUGUAACUAAUGAGGGGGGAAGGAUGGGCUACAUUUUCCACCAGAAUAAACGAACGCGAUUACGAAAUUAACCGCCAAAGGCGGAUUUAGCAGUAAGGUGGGAAUAAAACACCCAACUGAAACAUGCAAUGAAGUGCGUACACACCGCCCGUCAUCCCUGUAACACCUAAAAAACCUAUAUAACACCACCACCCCCUUAAAGCAGGGCAAGUCGUAACAUGGUAAGUGUACUGGAAAGUGUACUUAGUAACAA
rnacentral:ncRNA from 1 species